rnacentral:rRNA from 1 species
AUUGAACGCUGGCGGAAUGCUUUACACAUGCAAGUCGAACGGCAGCACGGGGCAACCUGGUGGCGAGUGGCGAACGGGUGAGUAAUACAUCGGAACGUGCCCAGUCGUGGGGAGUAACGUAGCGAAAGCUACGCUAAUACCGCAUACGAUCUACGGAUGAAAGCGGGGGACGUCGCAAGAGCCUCGCGCGAUUGGAGCGGCCGAUGGCAGAUUAGGUAGUUGGUGGGGUAAAGGCUCACCAAGCCUGCGAUCUGUAGCUGGUCUGAGAGGACGACCAGCCACACUGGAACUGAGACACGGUCCAGACUCCUACGGGGAGGCGAGC